rnacentral:rRNA from 1 species
CUACGGGACGCACCAGUGGGGAAUCUUAGACAAUGGGCGCAAGCCUGAUCUAGCCAUGCCGCGUGAGUGACGAAGGCCUUAGGGUCGUAAAGCUCUUUCGCUGGGGAAGAUAAUGACGGUACCCAGUAAAGAAACCCCGGCUAACUCCGUGCCAGCAGCCGCGGUAAUACGGAGGGGGUUAGCGUUGUUCGGAAUUACUGGGCGUAAAGCGCGCGUAGGCGGAUCAGAAAGUUGGGGGUGAAAUCCCGGGGCUCAACCCCGGAACUGCCUUCAAAACUCCUGGUCUUGAGUUCGAGAGAGGUGAGUGGAAUUCCGAGUGUAGAGGUGAAAUUCGUAGAUAUUCGGAGGAACAUCAGUGGCGAAGGCGGCUCACUGGCUCGAUACUGACGCUGAGGUGCGAAAGCGUGGGGAGCAAACAGGAUUAGAUACCCCAGUAGUC